rnacentral:lncRNA from 1 species
GGCUAAGUUAUAGCCAUUAGCAUUGUAGGGAACAACUGACUCAAAGAGAUCCUAGAUCAUUUAGUGUAUAUUGAGUAUUCAUGCUAUUCCAAAUGACUAGAGAAUAUAAACUUCUUGAUGAUAAGUUGUUUGUUUGUUUGUUUUUGCAUUUGUAGUUCCAGUUCCUAGAACAAUAUCUGUCCCUUUAUUGGUGCUAAAAUUAUUGGAAGGAAGGGAGGAAGGGAGGAAGGGAGGAAGGGAGGAAGGGAGGAAGGGAGGAAGGAAGGAAGGAAGGAAGGGAGGAAGGAAGGAAGGAAGGAAGGAAGGAAGGAAGGAAGGAAGGAAGGAAGGAAGGAAGGAAGGAAGGAAGGAAGGAAGGAAGGAAGGAAGGAAGGAAGGAAGGAAGGAAGGAAGGAAGGAAGGAAGGAAGGAAGGAAGGGAGGGAGGGAGGGAGGGAGAGGGAACAGAUAGAGUAACAGCAAUUCUCCCUCCCCCCAGGCAGAGCUGUUUAAAUAAUGGAGCCAGAUCUGACUAGAGCUGAAGAGCAAAAGAAAAUCCCCUUCAGUCUCCUUCUUCUUUAGUUGAUGUUAUUUGCAAUCCCCCUUCUAGUACAUUUAAGAUAUCAGCAUCUUCAGUAAAGUAAAAAUAGCUCUUUAUUGGGUAAGGGGUUGGGGUAGAAAUUAGGAGAGAGGAAGCAGGAAGUCCCUGAGCUGACUCCUUCCUAUAGAUGUCUUCAGGGGUUUGAGGCACAAGUCUAGGGACUAAGACCCAGAUGAGCUUAAUGUCUGUCAAUUCAGGAUGAUGGUUUGUCUUGUCUCCGAGAUAUAGUUUGAAGGAGUCUUCUGAAGGAUAGGUUAUUGCCUUCCCUGAAGUGAAAAAGUCUCUUCCCACUGCUGUAACUCAGAUCAAUGGUCGGGAUGUUUUCUUGCUCAACAAGGGAUCUAGUAGAUGGUAGCUAAGUAGGCUCAGGGAGCAUUUUGUUCCUUCUCUCUUCGAGUCAAAGAGAGCCAGGAACCAGCAGCCUCUAACUGCUCCUACUUUCCUUAGCUGGAAUGCUCCAUUCCCAUCCCCCCAUGGCAGCAGAGUUCCAUCCCUUCUCUUCAUGAGAUCACCUUACAAAAUCUAGUUAUUGCAUUUGUUGUAGCAUUUCUCUCCUCCACACUUGUCCUUGCACCCUUCUUCCCUGGAAUCAAUGCACGGUGUUGAUUGAUUGGAAGGCGGAAGAUACAGCUUUAAAAAAAAGAAUCAACAAACAUCUCCCCAUCAACAGGACCCUUAAGGAGGUCUGUGGACACAAGGGAUCUAGAGGUAGCCUGGACAAAACGGAGAGUCAGAAAGACCUGCAGGUAUUGCUGUAUCCUUUCUGUGUGGUCUUCUGCCAACCACCACACCAAUCAGCUCUGGGUCUGCUCUCUAAGGCUAAGAUCACAGAGCAGUGGUGACCAACAUUGGUGCAGGGAGCUUCCUCACUGGGAG